rnacentral:rRNA from 1 species
CCAGACUCCUACGGGAGGCAGCAGUGGGGAAUAUUGCACAAUGGGGGAAACCCUGAUGCAGCGACGCCGCGUGAGUGAAGAAGUAUCUCGGUAUGUAAAGCUCUAUCAGCAGGGAAGAAAAUGACGGUACCUGACUAAGAAGCCCCGGCUAACUACGUGCCAGCGGCCGCGGUAAUACGUAGGGGGCAAGCGUUAUCCGGAUUUACUGGGUGUAAAGGGAGCGUAGACGGCGCUGCAAGUCCGGAGUGAAAGCCCAUGGCUUAACCAUGGUACUGCUCUGGAAACUGUGGAGCUUGAGUACUGGAGAGGCAGACGGAAUUCCUAGUGUAGCGGUGAAAUGCGUAGAUAUUAGGAGGAACACCAGUGGCGAAGGCGGUCUGCUGGACAGCAACUGACGCUGAGGCGCGAAAGCGUGGGGAGCAAACAGGAUUAGAUACCCUCGUAA